UAAGUCAGAAUCCCGCCUGGAAAGCGACGAUGCAUUCGUGCCUCGGCCUCGAGAGGCGUAGCUAGACGGCCGCGUGGCCGUGGAAAGAGCCCGAUUCCGACCCGAGAGGCCGCGGCAAGAGGCGGCCUCGAAGUCGGUGGAUCCUCCUGCUCGAAAGGCGGGGUGCUAAACCAUUCGCAGACGACCUAGUUGAAGAUCGGGGUGUCGUGAUCACUAGAGCAGUACAUCUCACUGCGAUUUGUUGAGAGUAAGCCUCAAGAUCUGUCGGUUUGU
rfam:Ciona savignyi cont_35611, whole genome shotgun sequence.